UCCUCAACCGCCCCGCAGUCGCAAGCAU
rnacentral:sRNA from 1 species